AAGGCGAGGACAAGAAACUGAACACGAUUCCCUCAGUAAUGGCGACUGAACAGGGAUAUGCUCACUGUGGAAAUCGAGGCACCUCGUCUCGAAUUGUAAUCUCAAGAUGCAUUGCCAACGGCGGCGCAGGAGUAAGCCUCUUGGAAAAGAGCACCGUUGAGGGUGAAAGUCCCGUCUGUCUCUUGCAGUCCGUUGUGUACGGCGUGCGCUCUGCGAGUCGCGUUCCUCGGGAUUGGAGCGCAAACUGGGUGGUAAAUUUCAUCUCAAGCUAAACAUAGGUUCGAGACCGAUAGAAAACAAGUACCAUGAGGGAAAGAUGAAAAGGACUUUGAAAAGAGAGUUAAAAGUGCCUGAACUUGCUGCAAGGAAAGCGGAUGGAACCAGUCUUGCAAGGCGAGAUUGUCUGGAGGGCGGAUGUACCUGCUACUUCGUGGCGAAAGCGCGGGGAAGUAGGCUGCCUGUGCCUUCUUGAUGCUUCUUGUCUUCGAUGUUACCGUCUGAUUGGCACUGGGCUUGACUGGGGUUUCAUGGGCUCACUCCCCUGGGCGUGCGAAUGGUCCCUAUGGAACCCAUUGCCAUUCGGAUCGGCGACGAAAUGGUUUCCUUCGACCCGUCUUGAAACACGGACCAAGGAGUCUAACAAAUGUGCGAGUUACUAGGAGGAAAAACCUAGGGGGCCCAAUGAAAGUGAUGACUGCGACAUUUGCAGCAGCAGCCGACCGAUCGAUUGGGAGAGGUUUGAGCAUGAGCAUUUUUGUUAGGACCCGAAAGAUGGUGAACUAUGCCUGAGAAGGGCGAAGUCUGGGGAAACUCAGAUGGAGGCUCGUAGCGAUACUGACGUGCAAAUCGUUCGUCAUACUUGGGUAUAGGGGCGAAAGACUAAUCGAACCAUCUAG
rnacentral:rRNA from 1 species